UACGAAGGGGACUAGCGUUGUUCGGAAUUACUGGGCGUAAAGCGCACGUAGGCGGAUUUGUAAGUCAGGGGUGAAAUCCCGGGGCUCAACCUUGGAACUGCCUUUGAUACUGCAAAUCUCGAGUCCGAUAGAGGUGGGUGGAAUUCCUAGUGUAGAGGUGAAAUUCGUAGAUAUUAGGAAGAACACCGGUGGCGAAGGCGGCCCACUGGAUCGGUACUGACGCUGAGGUGCGAAAGCGUGGGGAGCAAACAGG
rnacentral:rRNA from 1 species